GGAACUGAAGUUAAUGUGGUCGUCUGAGGGAUGUGGAUUCAUACUGAUGAUGAACCAUUCAAUGGGAGCUCAAGUUAAUGUGGUCAUCUGAGGGAUGUGGAUUCAUACUGAUGACGCAUACCUUGUCCGCAAUUGCAACGAAAGAUUCUCGCUGGUAUGGUUUUCAAGGUGAAGGGUUACAUGUAGAUGCCACAAACCUUGUCCGCAAUUGCAACCGAAGAUUUUUGGAUGAACCACAAGACGAUCAGAUGAAGGCUUUCAGUUGUCCAGGCCAGGCCAGGUGACCAAUGACGAUGAUAGAUCAGGUUCGAUUCAAGCUAUACGCUUGGUGUAUUCGGUUAUCGUGUCUGGCGACUGAGUCUAACUCACGUCCAAAGCACGGUGGCUGGGUCCCAGGCAUGCUUGCCACUUUGUUCUGCGGUCCUCAUCUAAGUUUCGACGGUGAUGACAUGGACUUAGGUUCAAAGUACGUGUUCCCCUUGAGUCAUUGUGGUUGAUUGAUGGGGGCAAUUAACGGUUGCGUGUCGCUAGUCAUUCAAUUGGUCCCCUUGUUUUAGAGUGUUGGCGGGAUAAGUCUUACGACUGUUAACAAUAGUAAGCAAUAGCUGGCCAGCGAUCCCCUACCUGAUCUCGAGGGGGAUGGAAUGACUGGGGUUAGAGGCCUGUUGUUAACCUGCGGAAUUUCGUCGGACGAAAUGUCAGGCGUGUCCGUGUGGGACUUGUGCUAAACCAGUUUAGUACAUAUGACGAAGACAUUGGGCUCUUUGAAUAACAACAGUGUUCUCAACCUCCUUGUGCCUCACAAAGCUAACAAAUAUACCCGCUGAAAUCGACAAGACGGCGAUGAAGAAGGAGAGCCGGCCUCCAGCUCGAGAGCCGAGAAGACACUGGAUGGACCUGAAGAAUAUGUUGCUGCCAAUGUUGGAGCCAUACAGGGCAGCCCGAGCCAACAUUGUACAAGGGCCACAAGGGACACAAGGACGAGGGACACAAGGACGAGGGACACAAG